GAUGAAGAACGUAGCGAAAUGCGAUACGUAAUGUGAAUUGCAAAUUCAGUGAAUCAUCGAGUCUUUGAACGCACAUUGCGCCCCCUGGUAUUCCGGGGGGCAUGCCUGUCCGAGCGUCAUUGCUGCCCUCAAGCACGGCUUGUGUGUUGGGCCCCGUCCUCCGAUUCCGGGGGACGGGCCCGAAAGGCAGCGGCGGCACCGCGUCCGGUCCUCGAGCGUAUGGGGCUUUGUCACCCGCUCUGUAGGCCCGGCCGGCGCAUGCCGAUCAACCCAAAUUUUUAUCCAGGUUGACCUCGGAUCAGGUAGGGAUACCCGCUGAACUUAAGCAUAUCAAUAAGCGGAGGA
rnacentral:misc_RNA from 1 species